rnacentral:tRNA from 1 species
GCCUGGGUGGCUAAGUCGGUUGGGUGUCUGACUUCGGUUCAGAUCAUGAUCUUGCAUUUCGUGGGUUCGAGCCCCACAUCCAGCA